rnacentral:rRNA from 1 species
GUGGGGAAUUUUGGACAAUGGGCGCAAGCCUGAUCCAGCGACGCCGCGUGGAGGACGAAGGCCUUCGGGUUGUAAACUCCUUUUGGAGGGGAAGAAUAAAUUGACGAUACCCUCAGAAAAAGCCACGGCUAACUACGUGCCAGCAGCCGCGGUAAUACGUAGGUGGCGAGCGUUACUCGGAAUUACUAGGCGUAAAGCGUAUGUAGGUGGUUAGAUAAGUCUAUGGUGAAAUUUCCUGGCUUAACUGGGAAGGGACAUAGAUACUAUCUGGCUUGAGUGUGGGAGGGGGAGACGGAAUUCCUGGUGUAGCGGUGAAAUGCGUAGAUAUCAGGAGGAACACCGAUGGCGAAAGCAGUCUCCUGGCCCAAUACUGACACUGAGGUACGAAAGCUAGGGUAGCAAACAGGAUUAGAAACCCGGGUAGUCC